rnacentral:lncRNA from 1 species
UUGAGAGCCCUUACCGUUGUGGUUCUACUGUGGAGGCAGCGGGCGUAGCGACCGGGCGCAAGCAGCCGAGCGGGCGGUGGAGAACCAGUCGCAAAAGUCUGCGGAAUUGUGGGAUCCAGUGAAGGCGGGUUCGUGUGUCGGUUGUGACAGAGCGAGGUGAGCCCGAGCGCGAAGCCCAGCUGGCGCUACAACCUUUGGGUCAAAAGUCAACGAUAGCCGCUGCGGGCCAGGCGCGUGGCCUCGCUGGGUCGCUGGUUGCACCCAGCAUGGCGUUUCGCAAGCUUAACUGGUUUUGGUUGCAAGUUCCUUCGCGGCGAUGCUCCAAUUGCGCCCUAUGCACUGGUUGCAGGUCGUCGGCGGUGUUCCGGCGUCAUGCUUCCGUGGCAAAAUGUAUGAUGCGCUCCGGUCAUCGAGUCGCAUGUGCCGGAGGGACCAAUAGCAGGCAGCGCAGCUUAGAAUUGCAAUCGGUGAGUAUAUGUAGACAGCCACUACUAACGUGUAUCAUUAGCGACCAGUCAUACUUGUGGCGCGUCGGCACGCCGCACGCGUGCCCGCCGUCACUCACCCCAAAGGGGUCUGUUCCCGACACUCGCGCCAGCCGUACCGAUGCGCCAGCAUUUCGCGCAACCAUACCAUCUGACGGAGCGCUAUGCGCAAUCAUCGCUUACCGAAUGCCGGCUCAGGUUCCUAUCCGCAACUGCUCCAUCCCCACUAAGUUACGGUACUCACUUCCCCUCCUUCACACCCUUUCCUGCCUGCCUCCACNNNNNNNNNNNNNNNNNNNNNNNNNNNNNNNNNNNNNNNNNNNNNNNNNNNNNNNNNNNNNNNNNNNNNNNNNNNNNNNNNNNNNNNNNNNNNNNNNNNNCUCCGCUGUGCCAAUGUCUGGUGGCAAGGGAAAGGCGCCAUCGCUGACACCGUACUCCCUUUCAGCCUCCACGGCUGAGACCAUCUUCACGCCUGGAGCAUUGGGGUUGACAAGCUUGCGCAACCACGCUGCUGAGCGGUCCAGCCGGUCACCCCACUGCUCGGGGCUGAGGAAGGGGCGGUGCUCCACCUUUAAGUUCUUUUGGAGGGUUGGAUCGUAGUGUUGCAUGGAGCGCCACAGGGAUUUGAAAGUGAUCUUGUGGGAUUUGAGAACGUCUUGAAAGGGCGCGUCGUGCUCGUACUUGGCGGCAGAGUCAUAGUGGACGCUCUUGACGUGGUCGACCAGGGUUUUCAGGAUGGGGUCCGACACCGUGCGCGGCCGGCCUGGGCGUGGCUUGGGCUCUGUCCCGCCAGUGUGCACGUAGCGCACGUACCACUUCUUAAUCUGCUCUGCCAUAUGCUUGGGUGAUGCCUCCCAUGGUGUGUAAUCAACUGGCUGCGGGAAGAUCUCUGGGCAUGCCUCGCGUGCCUUGAACUCCGCCACGGCAAUGGGGCCCCAGCGCUGAGGUGUGGUGCCACGUGUGGUAAGCCCAGAACGGUAACAGGCCUGAAUGGCAAUGGCGGCUACUAGCGCAGCUACCAUUCGCCGCCAUGCGUCCGUUGACAGGUUGGAAUAGAUGGUGCCAGUGGUAGCAUCCAUCCUUUCACCUGUGUGCGUCGGUGAUGGGGUUUGCGGGUGCGUGGUGAGAGAGGGGGACAGGUGCACGCUAUCAUGAACCAGGCUAAAUUCGUAAUAAUUCGCCCCCCAUGCGCCACAAACCCCACCCAACCUGAAACCCCUUAGUUCCCCAGAUCCAUUUCCACGUCUGAAGGCGGGUUCGUGUGUCGGUUGUGACAGAGCGAGGUGAGCCCGAGCGCGAAGCCCAGCUGGCGCUACAACCUUUGGGUCAAAAGUCAACGAUAGCCGCUGCGGGCCAGGCGCGUGGCCUCGCUGGGUCGCUGGUUGCACCCAGCAUGGCGUUUCGCAAGCUUAACUGGUUUUGGUUGCAAGUUCCUUCGCGGCGAUGCUCCAAUUGCGCCCUAUGCACUGGUUGCAGGUCGUCGGCGGUGUUCCGGCGUCAUGCUUCCGUGGCAAAAUGUAUGAUGCGCUCCGGUC